rnacentral:tRNA from 1 species
AUUCAUAUAGCUUAAGUAGAGCGUAGUACUGAAGAUACUAAGGUAAUUAAAUAAUUUAUGGAUA